rfam:Triticum aestivum genome assembly, contig: Triticum_aestivum_CS42_TGACv1_scaffold_094161_2AL
AGAGUGGAAUGCAGCCAAGGAUGACUUGCCAGCAGCACAGAACAAGGCGGUAAUCUUUGAUACGAUUGCCAUUUGCCCGGCAAGUCCAUCCUUGGCUACACCUUACUCUCU